rnacentral:lncRNA from 1 species
UGAAGAUCCCCAUAGAAGGCCUCACCCUCACUAGGGGGCAGAAAUGGGAUGGAAUAAGAGAUAAUUCGGUUUUUCUCCAUGAAGAAGCAACUGUUCUUUGUAUAGUCAUGCUAACAGCAAGUGAUGCAAAAAGGAACCCUACAAUAAAUGUUGGUGUCACUUUGAGCUGUGAACAAAGCAUGACCAUUCUCACACAGCUCAGAGACUGAGUGAGGAGGACUCUCAUCAUUCUGCUGUACAUAAUAGAACAUGGGAGGAGAAGCUGGCUGAACUGUGCACCAGAACCUUUUUACCAGAAUCACAUCAAAGACCUAUUGGCAGACCCUACCAACAAGAGAUUCCUCUGUCCAUGUGUCAGCAGUAAUGUCCUGUGGCAGUGGUCAGUAGAAGUCAAACCUG